GACGAACGCUGACGGUGUGCUUUAGACAUGCAAGUCGAACGAGAAAGCCCUUCGGGUUAGGUAAAGUAGGCGAACGGGUGAGUAACACGUGGGCAAUCUGCCCCUCGCAGGGGGACAACCGGAGGGAAACUCCGGCUAAUACCCCGUAAGUUCAAAGGGAGGCAUCUCUCUUCGAAGAAAGGUAGCUUCGGCCAUCCGGCGAGGGAUGAGCCCGCGGUGCAUUAGCUAGUUGGUGGGGUAACGGCCUACCAAGGCGACGAUGCAUAGCUGGUCUGAGAGGAUGAUCAGCCACACUGGGACUGAGACACGGCCCAGACUCCUACGGGAGGGCAGCAGUCGGGGAAUCUUGCGCAAUGGGCGAAAAGCCCUGACGCAGCAACACCGUGUGUGGUGAGGAAGGCCUUAGGGUCGUAAAGCACUGUUGUGGGGGACGAAGGGCGAAGGGUUAAUACGCCCCUAGCUUGACGGUA
rnacentral:rRNA from 1 species